AGGUCAUUUCAAAUAGGGAUAAUGGGGCUGUGAAACCAGGAGCUCUUAAUUCUAUGACUAAAGAUUGAAGUUCUCCAUAGGGUGGUAUAGUCACCCAAUAGUACUAAGUUUUUUUUAAAAUAUAUUUUA